UAAUACAUUUUUUCAUUAAUGAAACAAUAUAUAUGAUCAAGGUGUACACACACGGAAGAAAGACAUACAUGAACAUAUAUGUGAGUGUGUAUAUACACAUCAAUACAUCAAUUUGUCUAUGUGUGCAUGUAUUUAGAUCGACAGUGACUUGAAAAGACAGAUUUCGUACGAUGAAAUGAAAUGAAAUUCAAGAAAUGGACAUUUCGUGUAUGGUUCUCGUGGCCUACCAUUUUGCAUGCGGCUACCGAUUUUGUCAUAAAAAAGGACUUUGUUGGAUAUUGAAAGAAUAGGAUGGGCUCCAAUUUCCAGUCAUCAACAGUGAAGCAUUA